UACGUAGGUCCCGAGCGUUGUCCGGAUUUAUUGGGCGUAAAGCGAGCGCAGGUGGUUUAUUAAGUCUGGUGUAAAAGGCAGUGGCUCAACCAUUGUAUGCAUUGGAAACUGGUAGACUUGAGUGCAGGAGAGGAGAGUGGAAUUCCAUGUGUAGCGGUGAAAUGCGUAGAUAUAUGGAGGAACACCGGUGGUGAAAGCGGCUCUCUGGCCUGUAACUGACACUGAGGCUCGAAAGCGUGGGGAGCAAGCAGG
rnacentral:rRNA from 1 species